AUCCAGCUGAGGAGUCCCGAACAGGACGAACCGUGUGUCAAUCUGGAU
rnacentral:hammerhead_ribozyme from 1 species